UCCUAAUACAGGGAGGUAGUGACAAGAAAUAACAAUACAGAGCCUUACGGUUUUGUAAUUGGAAUGAGUUAAGUAUAAACCCCUUAACAAGUAUCAAUUGGAGGGCAAGUCUGGUGCCAGCAGCCGCGGUAAUUCCAGCUCCAAUAGCGUAUAUUAAAGUUGUUGCAGUUAAAAAGCUCGUAGUUAAUUUUCUGUUAAUUUUUAUAUACAAUGCUACGGUAUUUAUAUAAUAUUAACAUAAUUCAUAUUACUUUUUAGUAUAUGAAACUUUACUUUGAGAAAAUUAGAGUGCUUAAAGCAGGCUAUUGCCUUGAAUACUCCAGCAUGGAAUAAUAUUAAGGAUUUUUAUUCUUCUUAUUGGUUCUAGAAUAAAAAUAAUGAUUAAUAGGGACAGUUGGGGGCAUUUGUAUUUAACAGUCAGAGGUGAAAUUCUUAGAUUUGUUAAAGACAAACUACUGCGAAAGCAUUUGCCAAGGAUGUUUUCAUUAAUCAAGAACGAAAGUUAGGGGAUCGAAGACGAUCAGAUACCGUCGUAGUCUUAACCAUAAACUAUGCCAACUAGAGAUUGGAGGUUGUUCCUUACUCC
rnacentral:rRNA from 1 species